CUACGGGGUGCUGCAGUGGGGAAUAUUGCACAAUGGGCGCAAGCCUGAUGCAGCCAUGCCGCGUGUAUGAAGAAGGCCUUCGGGUUGUAAAGUACUUUCAGCGGGGAGGAAGGGAGUAAAGUUAAUACCUUUGCUCAUUGACGUUACCCGCAGAAGAAGCACCGGCUAACUCCGUGCCAGCAGCCGCGGUAAUACGGAGGGUGCAAGCGUUAAUCGGAAUUACUGGGCGUAAAGCGCACGCAGGCGGUUUGUUAAGCCAGAUGUGAAAUCCCCGGGCUCAACCUGGGAACUGCAUCUGAUACUGGCAAGCUCGAGUCUCGUAGAGGGGGGUAGAAUUCCAGGUGUAGCGGUGAAAUGCGUAGAGAUCUGGAGGAAUACCGGUGGCGAAGGCGGCCCCCUGGACGAAGACUGACGCUCAGGUGCGAAAGCGUGGGGAGCAAACAGGAUUAGAUACCCCGGUAGUC
rnacentral:rRNA from 1 species